GACAAAAAUUUCGUUUUUAACUGGCCUUGUCCUAUCUUUGCAGCGGUCGUAAUGGGGGAAUCAGGUCGGAAUCCUGAGCAGUUCCCGCUACUGUAUAUGCAGAAGACGGAUAUGUUCUGUCAAUGCACAAGUCAGAAUGCCUGUUGCGGCUGAUACCAUCGGU
rnacentral:ncRNA from 19 species